GAUGAACGCUGGCGGCGUGCCUAAUACAUGCAAGUCGAGCGAACGGACGAGAAGCUUGCUUCUCUGAUGUUAGCGGCGGACGGGUGAGUAACACGUGGAUAACCUACCUAUAAGACUGGGAUAACUUCGGGAAACCGGAGCUAAUACCGGAUGAUAUUUUGAACCGCAUGGUUCAAAAGUGAAAGACGGUCUUGCUGUCACUUAUAGAUGGAUCCGCGCUGCAUUAGCUAGUUGGUAAGGUAACGGCUUACCAAGGCAACGAUGCAUAGCCGACCUGAGAGGGUGAUCGGCCACACUGGAACUGAGACACGGUCCAGACUCCUACGGGAGGCAGCAGUAGGGAAUCUUCCGCAUUGGGCGAAAGCCUGACGGAGCAACGCCGCGUGAGUGAUGAAGGUCUUCGGAUCGUAAAACUCUGUUAUUAGGGAAGAACAUAUGUGUAAGUAACUGUGCACAUCUUGACGGUACCUAAUCAGAAAGCCACGGCUAACUACGU
rnacentral:rRNA from 1 species